rnacentral:lncRNA from 1 species
UGCCAAGCUCACAUUCGGAGGGGGAACAAGGUUAACGGUCAGACCCGACAUCCAGAACCCAGAACCUGCUGUGUACCAGUUAAAAGAUCCUCGGUCUCAGGACAGCACCCUCUGCCUGUUCACCGACUUUGACUCCCAAAUCAAUGUGCCGAAAACCAUGGAAUCUGGAACGUUCAUCACUGACAAAACUGUGCUGGACAUGAAAGCUAUGGAUUCCAAGAGCAAUGGGGCCAUUGCCUGGAGCAACCAGACAAGCUUCACCUGCCAAGAUAUCUUCAAAGAGACCAACGCCAC